GGCCGCGUGGCCUAAUGGCUAAGGCGCUAGAUUUCGGUUCCCCCACUAUCGAACUCUCUAGAGAUUCCAGGUUCGACUCCUGGCGUGGUCG